GACGAACGCUGGCGGCGUGCUUAACACAUGCAAGUCGAACGGAAAGGCCCUGCUUUUGUGGGGUGCUCGAGUGGCGAACGGGUGAGUAACACGUGAGUAACCUGCCCUUGACUUUGGGAUAACUUCAGGAAACUGGGGCUAAUACCGGAUAGGAGCUCCUGCUGCAUGGUGGGGGUUGGAAAGUUUCGGCGGUUGUGGAUGGACUCGCGGCUUAUCAGCUUGUUGGUGGGGUAGUGGCUUACCAAGGCUUUGACGGGUAGCCGGCCUGAGAGGGUGACCGGCCACAUUGGGACUGAGAGACGGCCCAGACUCCUACGGGAGGCAGCAGGGGGGAAUAUUGCACAAUGGGCGGAAGCCUGAUGCAGCAACGCCGCGUGCGGGAUGACGGCCUUCGGGUUGUAAACCGCUUUCGCCUGUGACGAAGCGUGAGUGACGGUAAUGGGUAAAGAAGCACCGGCUAACUACGUG
rnacentral:rRNA from 1 species